rnacentral:rRNA from 1 species
UCUUGUACAAAGUGUCCCGGUAAACCUAAGGUUUUCUGGACAAGGUUCGUCCUACCAGAGUCAGUCGGGAGCUAAGACGAGAUCGUAAGAUGUAGUCGAUGCACAACUGGUUAAUAUUCCAGUACUAAUUUAGCGUUGUUGUUUCAAGCAUCCUUGAAGUUUAUGUAGUCAUCGAUUGACUCAGCUUAGGGUAAAACCGAAGCAUAUACGUGGAUGGGGUGCCUAGAAAAAGGAACAAUGCAAGCUGAAUUACCCGUACCGUAAACCGACACAGGUGGGUGGGUCGAAUAGACCAAGGUGCGCGAGAGAGACCUUUCUAAGGAACUCUGCAAAUUAGCCUCGUAACUUCGGGAAAAGAGGUGCUCACGUAAGUGAGUCACAGUAAAUUGCGUUUAGCGACUGUUUAACAAAAACACAGCACUCUGCCACGUCGUAAGACUAAGUAUAGGGUGUGACAAGUGACCAAUGCGGAAAGAUCGAGGUGAGUGGUUAGCGAAAGCGAAGCUCUGAACCCAAGUCCCCGUGAAUGUCGGCCGUAACUAUAACGGUCCUAAGGUAGCGAAAUUCCUUGUCGGGUAAGUUCCGACCUGCACGAAUCUUGUAACGACUGAACGACUGUCUCGGAGAGGAUCUCGGCGAAACUGUAAUUGCGGUGAAGAUGCCGCAUACCCGCAGUAGGACGGAAAGACCCUAUGCACCUUUACUGUAAGCUCGUAUUGUCUUCUGAUCUGUAAUGCUUAGCGUAGGUGGGAGACUUUGAUGGCAUAAUUUUGGUUGUGCCGGAGUCGAAAUGUGAAACACCACUCUUUGCAGAUUAGAAGUCUAACCUUCUCCAUUAUCUGGAGACGGGACAGUGCGUGCGGGUCAGUUUGACUGGGGCGGUUUCCUCCCAAAUUGUAACGGAGGAGCGCGAAGCUUGGCUCAGCACGGUUGGUAACCGUGCGUCGAGCGUAUGGGUAUAAGCCAAGUUGACUGUAAGACUUACAAGUCAAGCAGCUGUGAAAGCAGGCCCAAAUGAUCCGAUGGUAGAAUGUGGAAUUGCCAUCGCUCAACGGACAAAAGGUACGCUAGGGAUAACAGGCUGAUCGGGACCAAGAGUUCAUAUCGACGUCCCGGUUUGGCACCUCGAUGUCGGCUCAUCGCAUCCUGGGGCUGGAGAAGGUCCCAAGGGUCCGGCUGUUCGCCGGUUAAAGCGGUACGCGAGCUGGGUUCAGAACGUCGUGAGACAGUUCGGUCCUUAUCCACUGCGGGCGAAGGAAAUUUGAGGGGUUUCAACCUCAGUACGAGAGGACCGGGUUGGACGCAUUUCUGGUGUAGCAGUUGUUCCAUCAGGGGCAUCGCUGCGUAGCCAUGUGCGGCAAGGAUAAGCGCUGAAAGCAUCUAAGUGCCAAGCCUGUCCCAAGAUAUUAUUUCCCGGAAUUUAUUCCCUAAAGAUUCCACGCAGACUACGUGGUUGAUAGGCUGGGCGUAUAAGCGCCGUGAGGCGUGAGCGGACCAGUCCUAAUAAAUCGUGCGGCUUGGUACU